rnacentral:rRNA from 1 species
UACAGAGGUCCCAAGCGUUGUUCGGAAUUACUGGGCGUAAAGGGCUCGUAGGUGGCCAACUAAGUCAGACGUGAAAUCCCUCGGCUUAACCGGGGAACUGCGUCUGAUACUGGAUGGCUUGAGUGUGGGAGAGGGAUGCGGAAUUCCUGGUGUAGCGGUGAAAUGCGCAGAUAUCAGGAGGAACACCAAUUGCGAAGGCAGCUCGCUGGGACGUUACUGACGCUGAGACGCGAAAGCGUGGGGAGCAAACAGG